CUUGGUUAUGAUAGUUUCAACAUGUUCAUUAAACAGGUUGUGAUUGAAGGUUUCAAGAGUUACCGAGAGCAAAUUGCCACGGAGGAUUUCAGUCCUAAAGUUAACUGUGUUGGUGUUUCUACUUGCAUGGUUCGACCUAAAUCAGCUCUUGGAACCCUUCAAUGUCAACAACUUAGCUGUCAAACUCUCCAACCUGCACUUUUGUGCAUUGGUGCUACAUAACAUAGGUCUUAGUAACUCAAAAGCUUGAUAACUCUUCAUUAGUUUUUGUAAAUCCUUUUUACUCAUGUUAAUAUCUUGUGCUUACUGUGGUAAGUAACCAUUGAUCCAUAGAGAAGAUCUUUGGAGGAUUGGUUGAUAAUAUACAAAAAGUCUUAGAAGCUGGAA